AUUGAACGCUGGCGGCAUGCUUUACACAUGCAAGUUGAACGGUAACAGGCCUUCGGGCGCUGACGAGUGGCGAACGGGUGAGUAAUGCAUCGGAACGUGCCCAGUCGUGGGGGAUAACGCAGCGAAAGCUGUGCUAAUACCGCAUACGAUCUGCGGAUGAAAGCGGGGGACCUUCGGGCCUCGCGCGAUUGGAGCGGCCGAUGUCAGAUUAGGUAGUUGGUGGGGUAAAGGCUCACCAAGCCAACGAUCUGUAGCUGGUCUGAGAGGACGACCAGCCACACUGGGACUGCGAACCGGCCCAGACUCCUACGGGAGGCAGCAGUGGGGAAUUUUGGACAAUGGGCGGAAGCCUAAUCCAGCCAUGCCGCGUGUGUGAAGAAGGCCUUCGGGUUGUAAAGCUCUUUUGUCCGGGAAGAAACGGUUUCACCUAAUACGUGAGACUACUGACGGUACCGGAAGAAUAAGGACCGGCUAACUACGUGCCAGCAGCCGCAGUAAGAC
rnacentral:rRNA from 1 species